rnacentral:lncRNA from 10 species
GUAUAGUUUGUUAAUAUCAGAAAGAAUGCAAUUCACUGAUAUUUACUGAACACGUACAUGAAAAGCACAGUGACCACCUCUUUGGCCGGGAAGUGAGUGCACUCAAAGCAGGAUUUCCUGGCAACUGCUCCAGUAAUGUCUUACUGAGAAUGGAGAAAUCUGGAGGAUAAGAGGAAAGAGGAAAAAUGGAGUCUUCAUGGAAGAUAUUUUAUCCAUGGAACUGCACACUGUGGAAGCCUUGCAGAACCCGUGUCACAUCUUAGGGACACACGUCCCAGCCUGCUGGAAAUCUGAAGAACCCAGUAUGGGGGAGAGGAAGCAGUGUGCAGACCAUCUAGUGACAUCCAUUAAUUCAUGGAGGAGGGAAUUGAGGUCCACAGUCUGCUUCUACACCCCAAAGGAAAAGGGGAGUGUUUUACAACUUAUUUGAAAUGUGAAGGACUGGCCUGGCACUUAGUG